GAUGAACGCUGGCGGCGUGCCUAAUACAUGCAAGUCGAGCGAACAGACGAGGAGCUUGCUCCUCUGACGUUAGCGGCGGACGGGUGAGUAACACGUGGAUAACCUACCUAUAAGACUGGGAUAACUUCGGGAAACCGGAGCUAAUACCGGAUAAUAUAUUGAACCGCAUGGUUCAAUUGUGAAAGACGGUUUUGCUGUCACUUAUAGAUGGAUCCGCGCCGCAUUAGCUAGUUGGUAAGGUAACGGCUUACCAAGGCAACGAUGCGUAGCCGACCUGAGAGGGUGAUCGGCCACACUGGAACUGAGACACGGUCCAGACUCCUACGGGAGGCAGCAGUAGGGAAUCUUCCGCAAUGGGCGAAAGCCUGACGGAGCAACGCCGCGUGAGUGAUGAAGGUCUUCGGAUCGUAAAACUCUGUUAUUAGGGAAGAACAAAUGUGUAAGUAACUAUGCACGUCUUGACGGUACCUAAUCAGAAAGCCACGGCUAACUACGUG
rnacentral:rRNA from 1 species